CACUUCAAACUCAUUUUACUUAUUUUCAAUCAUCAAUAUAAAAAUUAAAUAACUUUAAAAUGUGUAAGUUUAUAACUAGUUUUUAUUAUAUUUGAUUUUCUUUUUUAUUUUUUAUAGAAUAACCAAAUAUGAGAAAAUUAUUUUCCUUAACAUUUUUUUUAUUUCCUUAGUAUUUUUUGAAAUCAAAUAUAGCUUAAAUGAAUUUGAAGAAGUAUAUAAAAAUAAUUUAUUGACUUUUAAUAUAUUUUUUAUUUUCUUUAACUUUUACUUUUCUUAUACUUUUUCCUUCUAUUUUUUAUUUUCCUUAACUUUUUCUUUCCUUCUUUUCUUUACAUUUUCCCUCAAAAUUUACAUGAACCAAACAUAGCCUUAUAAAGUUACAAAUUUUCCUAAAUAAUUUUCUUUAUAACUUUUUUUUCUAUCAUCCUUUAAUAUUCUUUAUGAAACCAUUUUAUUUAUUUAUCCUUUAAUAAGUAAAAAACCUAAACAUAUCAUAUUCCUAUUAACAAAAUUAGUUAAAUCAUAAAAUAUAAUUCCAAAUCUGUUAAAAUAUCUCCUCUUUGAAAAGGAUUUCUCAAGGUUAGAAAUUUAUUUUAAAAAUUAGUUAAAAAAUUAUUUAGUGUAUAAAAAUAAUGUAUUAAUUUUAAGUUUUUUUAUUUUUUAUUUUCUUUUUCUACUAUUUUUUUAAAAAAUUUUUUGAAAAUAAAAUAUAUAGAGGUUAUUACUUAAUAACUUAAGUUGAAUUUAAGUUACUUGUUGACUUAAAAUUUAUUAGUUAAUUCUUACUUUAAACAUUAAAGUUGUUUAAUAUAAUUAACUUAAAAUUUGUUCUAAAUCAUCAAAUUGACAUAUUUACUCUCAUAAAUUAUAAUUAGGGUAAAAGAGAUUGAAUAAUAAUAUAAUUAGCAAAAGAGAUCGUGGUGGUAAAUAUGACAAAAAAUGGUAAAAAUAUAAAAUAAAUAUGUGAAUUUAAGAAUAAGUUAAUUGUUUUACUUAUUACUUAAAGUUUGUUUUUUUACUUUAAGUUAUAUCAUUAAAUUAUUUUACCAAACAUACUUAAUUUACUUAAUAAUUUAAAUUAAAUUAUUAAAUCUCUUUAAGUUAUUAAAUUGAUUUAUCAAACAUUUACUAACUAUCCAUUGUAAAUAUUGUAUAAGUGAAAGUAAUACACUUUACAUGACAAAAUAAUUAAUUAAUCUUAUGCGUGAAAAAUAUAUUUAAAAAAACAUGUUAAUUAAAAUAAAAAUAAUUUUAAUAUUUUAAAUAAUUAAUUAAAUAACAAAAUUGUUUUCCUGUUGAAUUAUUGUAAUUAUAUCUCUAUUUUUAAUAUUUAACAAUCUUGUCCAAAGCAGAUUUUUGUUUAUAAUUAUAAUAAUUAUUUUUGGUUUUUACUAUUUAAGAUUUUCUUCCAAAUUGGGCUUUUUUAAUUAAGAAAAUAAAUCAAAAUUCAGACCAUACUAAUCUUUCUAAUAAAAAAAUGUUUAUUUAUUUAUUUCUUUCUUUCUUAAAUUAAAAUUGAGCGAAACCUAAAUUCCAAACACAAUCCGUCUCUUCCUUCAAAAACCUAAGAGUGAGGGUGGCACGAAGCACAGUGGUGUGCUUUCAAAACCGCAAAAAUCAAUCUUUCCCAAUAAAACCCUUGUAGAAAAAGGCCUUUUUUCACUGUAUAUUCACAGCAUCUCAGCCAUGGAAGCCCUCUCAAGCUCUGUAUUCGUCUCCAAGUUCUCUGAAACACGCCCUGUUUUCCACACUCCACCACCUUCUUCUUCGUCUUCUUCAUCUUUUUCUUGUUCUUUAGUCAAGAUAUCCAAUAAGCGAAGUGGGUCUCUCAAAAUCGUCGACACUUCUCCUUCUCUCAGGCUUCGUGCGCUCUCGGGAGACGUCUCGGGAGAUGUCGAGGGCGAAGACGCAAGUGGGUUUGGGUUGGCUUCUGAGGAGAGCGUCUCUUCUUUGUCGCAGGUGAGUUUUUUCUGUAAAUUUUGCGGCUUUUGAUCUGGGUUCUGUUGUUUUCUGCUUGCUUGAUGGGAAAUUGGUAGGAAAAGGAAAGAAAAAUUGGAACUUUGACUGUGUUAGUGCAAUCAUUUGGUUUAUUGAGUGGCGGAGUUGGGAUUAUAAUUGUCAGAACAGCAGAAAGCACAAUGAUUUACUUCUGGGUUUCCUGUUAUUUUCUGUUCGAUUGCUGAGAAAUUAUUGGAAAAAGAACAGAAGUUUUGGAAGUUUAACUAUGUUUAGUGCAGUUGUUUAGUUAACUUGAGUUGGGUACUAAAUUUCCUAGUGUGAGAACAGAAUAAAAGGCAAGAGUUUUGAUCUGGGUAUCCUGUUAUUUUCUUUUUGACUGGUGAGAAAGUGAGGGGAAAAAGAGAAAAGAAAACUUCACUUUCAACCGAGUUUAAUGCAAGUGAUUGACUAACUUGAGUUGGGUUUUUCAAUCGCGUACUGGGAAAACAGCAGAAAGUGCAAAAAUUUCAAUACUUUCUUUUCUAGAUUUCUUUUUCUUUGUUUUCCUGGCAACCAAACAGAAGCUUUCUAAUUUUAUUUUCACUUUGGCUCAUUAUAUGAUUGAUAAUAUAAAUUAAACUGAAAAAGCAACCUUGCCUUGUGUAACCACUGGCAUAAGAGCCAAGGAUCAUGAGCUUGCAUUGGUUGAGGCAAUUUAGAAAAGCCAUCUGAGGAUGAAUGUUAGAAGUUUCCCACAAUUAAGUCUAUAACUGUUAUUCCACAAGUAAGUUUUAUUCAAAUGUUUCUCAAGUGUAUGGUAAAUUUGAGUUUUGAGGAGAGUGAUAAUAGAUGGCAGAUGUCCAUUGGUUUUUCAGUAGGAGGAUCUGUCCUAAUUCCUUUCAAUGGCAUAAACUGAAUGUCAUAUUCAGUACCGAAUGUCAUAUUGUGCAUCUAUAUGUGCACUUGUUUUUGUAUGUAUUGAUCAUGAAUUGCAGUAUGAUUUAAGCGACCUUCAACAAAAUUGGUAUUUGUAACAUUAAAGAUUUCCAUUUUUUCAAUGAUUGCUGAGGGUUUUGAUGGUCUUUUUCUAUCUUUACCAAGCCUUUGGUUUUGCUGCAUAAUGCAUGAAACAUGCUAAUUUCCAUUAUAUAGUCAAUGAAUGGAUAUAUCAAAUGGCUACAUCGGGUUAGUUGUGAUGGCCUCUCUCAUAUUCUAAAGGGUAAUUUAAAUCACAAUCAGAGUCCUGAAAAGGGUGUGGAUGAAAUGUCGAAGAUGGAGAUGCCCCUUACAGUCUCACAUGGAAGCAUAACAGGUGGUGGAACAAGGGCUGGCCUUUUUAGAACACCGAUUUCUGGUGGAGUUCAGAGUGCAACCUCAGCGCAUGGUUUGCCCCGGCCAGCCUUAGCAGUCCGCAAUCUGAUGGAGCAGGUAAAGAUUGUUAUUUCGGUUUUGAAAUGUAAUUGUUACCUUUGACAUGAUAGUAUUUAUAUUUUUGGGCCAAUACUUUUUCUCAUAGUUGCUUAACUCCUCUUUUUUUUCCCCCAGGAAUUUUCUGAACCCCUUUUUUUCUUUGUAAUUGAAGGCCAGAUUUGCUCAUCUGUGUACUGUAAUGUCCCGGAUGCACCACCGGCGAGAAGGAUAUCCAUUUGGUUCUUUGGUAGAUUUUGCACCUGACUCAAUGGGGCGUAAGUCAUCAACUUUUCAGUAUUUAAUUUAUAACCUUUUUUCCCUUUGGGAAAUCAAUUGUCCCUAUAAAACCUCAACGAAUUGUUACAUUGGCAAGAAACAUGCAAGUCUAGAGACAAGUUUGUAGAAUAGAUGGGAGAUUACAGUUCCAGGCUACAUUUUGAUAUACGUGUAUUUGACAUGAUUAAGUGUCAUACUUGUUUUCUUUGUUUUGCAGAUCCUAUAUUUUCAUUUUCACCAUUGGCCAUCCACACACGAAAUUUGUUAGCCGACCCUAGAUGCACACUUGUUGUUCAGGUUAGUGCUUUGAUCUGUCCUCACCCUUAUAAUGUUUAGGCUGGUAGUAGUUUUCCAUUUAUGGAUUUUAUUGACAGUUAGGUUUCAUAGAUACCUGGGUGGAGUGGCUUAUCAAAUGCGAGAGUAACAAUUUUUGGCGAUGUUUUCCCGCUCCCAGAACAUCAACAGGUGAUUCCCUAGAUUCUUUCUUCGAUAAGUCCUAGUGAAUGGUGUGGUUUAUAACAAGCUUGUGAAACGGGAUUUUUUUUUAGAUCUGCCUACAGAAAUGAUCCAUAAUAACACGUGUUUUUGAAAACAGCCUAUAAAAAUAGCAUGUUCUCAAUGUAUUUUUUUGGAAGAAGGUUUCUCAAUGGAACAGUUUUCUCAAGUCAUUUAUAAUAAUUUUUUUUUUUCAACAAGUUGAGAAAAUAGUGUGUUCUCAUCAUGUCUCUUAAGAGAAGUUCAUUUUGGGUUUUGAAGUGUGAAAAGAAAAGAUCCAAGAAACUGUUUUCUUCAAAGUUGAGACUGAGGCAGUUAUAUAUAUAUAUAUAUAUAUAUAUAUAUAUAUAUAUAUAUAUAUAUAUAUAUAUAUGUAUUUCGGUAUUGUGAAUAUAAGAAUUCUGAAUGUAGAUCCUGCAUAAAUUUGUCCUUGUAAUGCAAGGGAUCAAAUUUGUACAGGGAGGUUCCAGGUCUGGUGCCAUGUAUUGAAAAGAAAUAAUGAUAAUAAUUUUGUUUUUUAAAAGGAGAUAUCUUAAGUUUGCGUUUCUCUUCUACUACCCACAGUUGUUAGUAUUGUAAUGUUGGGUUAUGUUGCCAGGAAUGGGCACACAAGCAGUACAUAGCAAAGCAUCUGCAGGGGCCUUCUCAACAGUGGGGAAACUUCUACUACUUUAGGAUGCAGAACAUCAGGUUUGUCUUUGUACACAGUGGUUCGAUCCAAUACAGUUAGUGAUCACCCUGUCAAAACACAAGUCAUCGUCCCCCAAAAACUUCUAUAUUUGCAAAUUAAAAGUAAUCAUGCAUAAAAAGGAUCAUUUCUUAGUUCCCCCCACCCUGGCAGAGCCUAUCCCUACUGUCAUGCGGUUAAGAUUUGUGAUACUACCUGAUGCAUUUUAUCCUUGUUUUUGCUACCUUGUGGUUUCUCAAAUCCAGUCUGUUGAUAUGUUGAUAUGUGUUUGGCUGUCGCUCCAGGCAUUUUGAGCCAAAAACUAACUGAUCUUCUAUAAAUAAAACAUGGUCAAAUGGGUAAACUUUUAUAUCUAUAUAUAAAGAAAUGCUACUUCAACACUUUUGUAUCUAUAUAUUCAUUUCACCUAUCAAGAAGGAAAGAAUUCCAUAUUCUGGAUUGUUGUGCAUAAGGGCUUCACAUGUUCUACUGAUUGCUUUCCAAUACGCCAUUUUAAAAUGACAUUUUUCUGUAGAAUAAUUAUGGAUUUAAAGGUGUGUAUCGGCUGAGAACCAACCACCUUGAGUUAUUAGAUACAUGAUUAAGCACAAGAAGCUUAUAUUGUUUGUUUGUUAUCCUAGUGACAUAUAUUUCAUCGGAGGCUUUGGCACUGUUGCUUGGGUUGAUGUCAAGGAAUAUGAGGCUCUCCAACCUGAUAAAAUUGCAGUUGAUGGGGGCGAGCAGAACCUAAAGGUGAAUCUUUUGAAUUCCCUGUAUUUUUAACUUGAGGGAUGUUAUAUUUGAUUGGCAUCAUUCCAUCGCUUGUGACGUGCCCAUUUAGGGAUUUAGACAUCUGUAAAAUACACGAAAACUCUGCAAUUUCUGAACAAGCACAUAAAACUGAAUUUGUUUUGAAUUUGCUUGCUUUAUCUGUAGGAACUCAACGCAGUUUUCUCAAAGCCCUUGAAAGAGCUUCUUUCAAUGGAAGCAGAAAUAGACGAUGCUGCUCUCAUAUCAAUCGACAGCAAGGGAACUGAUAUCCGGGUUCGUCAAGGCGCCCAGGUACUCACACACUUAUCAACACCAACAUAGCUAGGUGUUUACUUAUUUCCUUUCUUGUGAGUUUAGGAACCAUUAAACAGUAGAUUUGGCAUGGAGUUGAAUCAUUUUUCAUGUUUUUUCGGUUCUAGUUCAACAUACAGAGGAUACCCUUUGAAGAAGGGCAUGCAGUUGAAACACUGGAGGAAGCCAAGGCUGCACUCUGGAAAUUAAUAAACCAAGGUAGAGUCUACAACAUGCAGAAAUAAAAAUAAAAAUAAAACAUGGGGUGUUUUCUCGCAGAAACGGGUGCGUAAUUUUGCAGAAUAAUAGGUACUGGAAGAAGUACCAGGUAACAGUGAUUUGUAUGAUAAGUGCUGUUCUAUUCGCGAGUUAAACAAUCCCAGAAGACGAAAAUCUCAUGUUUUAAAUGGAUGAUGGUCUUAUGAAGGCAGUGAUUUGUAUGAUAAGUGCUGUUCUAUUCGCGAGUUAAACAAUCCCAGAAGACGAAAAUCUCAUGUUUUAAAUGGAUGAUGGUCUUAUGAAGGCAAGAAUGGAGAAAACAUAUCCACCCUAGAGUGUUUUUUUUUUUUUUUUUUUUU
rnacentral:lncRNA from 1 species